rfam:Xenopus tropicalis strain Nigerian Chr04_contig_2188, whole genome shotgun sequence.
GGCAGGCAGAGUAUGGCACACACAGGCAGCACACUGCCUGCCCUAUGCUGCCUGUGUGUGCCAUACUCUGCCUGCU